UCAGGAGGUCGGGAGAUCCUGCUAGAUCUAUGAGGUAGUAGAGAAACAUCAACUACUGGCUCAUGGACUACGGAUUCUUGAAGAUCUAUAGCUCUUGGCUCUUCAGAGACUUUCUCUUCGAGCUCCACUAACCUUCCACUGCUGCCAUCCUAGAUAAACUACUUUUCUAAGAAUACGAUGUUUCAACUUACAAUCAUAUUGCGGCCUGAUAG
rnacentral:lncRNA from 1 species